AACAAAUUUGGAGACAUUUUCCAGGACAUUGCUUGGUAGCAGCGAUGUUAAUUCCUCCAAUGUGUGGUUAGUCUUAGUAGUGAGGGCAUCAGUGGUGGAAUAAUUCUGUCACACUUCUCAUUAAGUAGCUGGUUUUGACGCAGGUGUCGUCCACAUACCUGACCCAGUGGAUAGGAGAAGUUCUAUAAUUACUUCAUAAUUGUACACUUUCAUUCUGUGGAUAUUUGAACAUGCAAGGUGAACAAUAGCCUCUGUGGCACAUCCCAGCAAUAGGAGGCGCCAUUCUGUUUCUGCCUCUCAGCCUUUGUUAGGGGGAAGAUUUCCAACGUGACUGACAGGGAGUUGGCUGGAUGAGAUAUGGAGCAUUCUGUCUCUAGCAUCGGGAAUGUCUCUUUAGGUUUCAAGGGAAAUGUUUCUGGCAGUGCUCGUUCCUUCAAACACAAAGUCUGGCCAGACACAGUCACGGGUACCCAGGCUAAAUCUAGACACACGCAGUAAACAGUAUUUGUAAUGGGAUAUUAGCCUGAGCUGUUCUCUCAUUUGGAGUGUCUGUCUCAUUUCAUGGCUGACGUCUGAGAGCUGCAGAGGUGUAUGUACUUCAGGCAGCAAGGAUCUGCCUUAAUCCACUGGAUCUAAUCAUUCCUGGCAUCUGUCAGUUGCACUCUGAUGAUCUGGGCCAAAUGUAACAGCAUCUGGACAGAGCAGGUGUGAAUACACAGGACUGAAUGCAAAAGAGAAGCAAACAGUGUUCUCCCAGGUCAACAUUUGACGUCUUCUUGACCCGUCCAUCCACUCUGACUUUGUGGACUUUGCUGACAGCAAAAUAACAUAAUAACACAGUUACUCCUGAUGGACAAAAGUCACAUUUCACACAGCUGCUGAAGGUCAAAUGAAGCCAGCUAGACAACUCAAUCGGCGCUAAGAUAUGCUAAUCUUAUUCCUCAGAUGAUUACGCCAUGGAGUCAACAUUGAUCUUCCAUGACCUCAGAAAAACACUGGCCCCCCAGUCAAAAAGACUGAUGGUGAUGUGUGUUGGUGUGUGUGCGUGCGUGUGUGUGUGUGUGUGUUUUGUGUGUGAUGAGGGUAAUGUCUCUGCUGUGCAUCAGUGUAUGGCUGAACUGCUGUGAUCUAUUUCAGAGCAAUGAGACUGGACAGGCACAAAGGGCUGAUAAAGGCAAUGUGCUGUAUACCAGCAUGGAGUUUGCUGAAGGUGCUGAUAUAUUGCAGCAAUUUACCAAAUGAUGAAAUUGGAGCUUUUUCGUGUCCAAAAGAUUCAGUCGGGGUGGAGAAGCAUUUGGACGAUCAUGAGACAAUAAAACCCUCCUGUGAAA